GCAUUGGUGAUUCACUGGUAGAAUUCUCCCCUUCCGUGUGGGCAACCUGGAUUUGAUUCCCGGCCAGUGUA
rnacentral:tRNA from 1 species